rnacentral:rRNA from 1 species
UACGUAGGGAGCAAGCGUUGUCCGGAAUCAUUGGGCGUAAAGGGCGCGUAGGCGGCGCCACAAGUCACUUGUGAAAACUCUGGGCUCAACCCAGAGCCUGCAGGCGAAACUGUGGUGCUGGAGUAUGGGAGAGGUGCGUGGAAUUCCCGGUGUAGCGGUGAAAAUGCGUAGAUAUCGGGAGGAACACCUGUGGCGAAAAGCGGCGCACUGGACCAUAACUGACGCUGAGGCGCGAAAAGCUAGGGGGGAGCAAAACAGG